rnacentral:lncRNA from 1 species
GGUCCAGAUUUAAAUUCUUUAGUUGAUAAUCUGAGAUUUAGGUUUCUAUUUUGGUUAUAAAUAUAACUAACUGCUCAAAUCUUCAUUCCUGAUUUUGUUUAUUGAGUGGGUAUGGAUGAAGUAAUUCAGAGGUCGUUUGCGUUGAUUUUGAGUAUUUCGGGUUAAAAGGAUCGAGUGAGAUCAAGUAAUGGAUUUCUGUUUAUGUUAAUAUUUUAUUUCUUAGUAUAAUAUUUUGGGGU